GUCCACCAGGAGAUGCUCCUGCAUCUCCAUCGGUGAAGAGACCUGAGCCCGUUGCCCAGGAGCUCGUGUGUCUGAUGCCAGAAGCAGCACGUCAUCCUUUAACAGAGCCGACUGUCACACUUCCUGUGUCAGAGGCGCUCCUGACUUCUCCCGAGACGUCUGCAGAGCCCGGUCAACUGCCAACUCCACAGAGAGGGCAAAGUCAGUAUUUUA